rnacentral:lncRNA from 1 species
AACAUAUUUUAUCAGUCUUAUUCUCGACCAUAUUACAUUUAAUACCUGCUGCAUGUAAAAAUCGCAGCACGAUAAAUCCCGGUGGACCUCCCUCCCAUUUCCGUAAAAAAAAAUUUUCUCGGAUUGUCCUUUUUGCAUUCCUUGGUAAUUGAAUCAUGCUAACCAGCACAUGGUGGCUAACUUAAGACCACGUCUGCUACCAAAAAAAACGAAGGGGUGGCGGUAGGGCCAAUAACCUGCUAACCGUAUCCAAAGCCUAUAAUCUUCAAUUUGGAUUUAGGAAAACGUCUCAAUAAUCUAUUGAAUCAAGUCUACAUGGAAGCCAAUUUAGACCAAAAAUCCAAAUACAACACAAUUAGAUUUUUCAAUAGACAUAUAACAAAUUCAGAUCAAAAAUCCAAAAAUACACAAUUAUUUCAGUAAAUUAGGUGUAGCGAAUUUAACCUAUAUACACCAAAUGAUAAAACUUUUAGAGUUCUUAUAUGGUAGAUAAAUGUAGCAUGUAUGCGAACAAAUUAGGGG